UGCGCAGGCGGGCUAUUAAGUCAGUGGUGAAAUCUCUCGGCUCAACCGAGAAACUGCCAUUGAAACUGAUAGUCUUGAGUAUAGUUGUAGUAGGCGGAAUAUAGCAUGUAGCGGUGAAAUGCUUAGAUAUGCUAUAGAACACCGAUCGCGAAGGCAGCUUACUAAACUAUUACUGACGCUCAUGCACGAAAGCGUGGGGAGCAAACAGGAUUAGAUACCCUGGUAGUC
rnacentral:rRNA from 1 species